rnacentral:rRNA from 1 species
UACGUAGGGAGCAAGCGUUGUCCGGAAUCAUUGGGCGUAAAGCGCGUGUAGGCGGUUCGGUAAGUCUGCUGUGAAAGCCCAGGGCUCAACCCUGGGAUGCCGGUGGAUACUGUCGGACUAGAGUACGGAAGAGGCGAGUGGAAUUCCCGGUGUAGCGGUGAAAUGCGCAGAUAUCGGGAGGAACACCAAUUGCGAAGGCAGCUCGCUGGGACGUCACUGACGCUGAGACGCGAAAGCGUGGGGAGCAAACAGG